rnacentral:rRNA from 1 species
UACGUAGGGUGCAAGCGUUAAUCGGAAUUACUGGGCGUAAAGCGUGCGCAGGCGGUUUUGUAAGUCUGACGUGAAAGCCCCGGGCUUAACCUGGGAAUUGCGUUGGAGACUGCAAGGCUUGAAUCUGGCAGAGGGGGGUAGAAUUCCACGUGUAGCAGUGAAAUGCGUAGAGAUGAUGGAGGAACACCGAUGGCGAAGGCAGCCCCCUGGGUCAAGAUUGACGCUCAUGCACGAAAGCGUGGGGAGCAAACAGG